AUAGCUGUCCGUGGACUCCAACCCCUGGCAGGCCGCCGUGUCCGUCACAGCGUAUGAACUCAUUGUCUGCUGCUGUGUUUCUGUUAUCGCCUGUGUCCGGAUCAGAACCUCUGACCAACUCUGCCUCUUCAUCAGCAUUCCUCUUUCUCUCAUCUUAUUCUCUGUUCAGCGCUCUGCGACUGCCGCCGCUUCCUGUCUCACUAUGACUGCUCAGCCCGGUUUCUGGAAAGGCCGUCCAAAUGCGGGAAGUGCACAACUACACGGAAUUCCCAGAUGACCUGUUUGUUUCCCAGCCGAUGCGACCCCCAUAGCCUCGRCUUGGACCGCUUCCAAACAUCCGAGUGCGACUUUCCUUCGUCCCUCUCCUCCUCCUCAUCCUCCUCCGCCGCCUCUUCAUUUUGACGCCAUGUUUCAAACUCUGAGGUGGCAUCAUUCAAAUUCAAAGUACAGAACAGUAAAAACCUCGGGGCGUUUAUGCGCUUCUUGCUUCUUCUUCA